AACGCUAGCUACAGGCUUAACACAUGCAAGUCGAGGGGCAGCAUGGUCUUAGCUUGCUAAGGCCGAUGGCGACCGGCGCACGGGUGAGUAACACGUAUCCAACCUGCCGUCUACUCUUGGACAGCCUUCUGAAAGGAAGAUUAAUACAAGAUGGCAUCAUGAGUCCGCAUGUUCACAUGAUUAAAGGUAUUCCGGUAGACGAUGGGGAUGCGUUCCAUUAGAUAGUAGGCGGGGUAACGGCCCACCUAGUCUUCGAUGGAUAGGGGUUCUGAGAGGAAGGUCCCCCACAUUGGAACUGAGACACGGUCCAAACUCCUACGGGAGGCAGCAGUGAGGAAUAUUGGUCAAUGGGCGAGAGCCUGAACCAGCCAAGUAGCGUGAAGGAUGACUGCCCUAUGGGUUGUAAACUUCUUUUAUAAAGGAAUAAAGUCGGGUAUGCAUACCCGUUUGUAUGUACUUUAUGAAUAAGGAUCGGCUAACUCCGUGCCAGCAGCCGCGGUAAUACGGAGGAUCCGAGCGUUAUCCGGAUUUAUUGGGUUUAAAGGGAGCGUAGAUGGAUGUUUAAGUCAGUUGUGAAAGUUUGCGGCUCAACCGUAAAAUUGCAGUUGAUACUGGAUAUCUUGAGUGCAGUUGAGGCAGGCGGAAUUCGUGGUGUAGCGGUGAAAUGCUUAGAUAUCACGAAGAACUCCGAUUG
rnacentral:rRNA from 1 species